rnacentral:rRNA from 1 species
CCAGUAGUCAUACGCUCGUCUCAAAGAUUAAGCCAUGCAUGUGUAAGUAUAAAUAUUUAACUUUGAAACUGCGAAUGGCUCAUUAUAUCAGUUAUAGUUUAUUUGAUGAAAAGUACUACUUGGAUAACCGUAGUAAUUCUAGAGCUAAUACAUGAUAAAAUCCUCGACUUUGAAGAGGUGUAUUUAUUAGAAUGAAACCAAUAGACUUCGGUCUGUUUGUGAGUAAUAAUAACUAAUCGUAUCGCAUGCUUAGGUAGCGAUAUGUCUUUCAAGUUUCUGCCCUAUCAGCUUUGGAUGGUAGUGUAUUGGACUACCAUGGCAGUAACGGGUAACGAAGAAUUUGGGUUCGAUUUCGGAGAGGGAGCCUGAGAGAUGGCUACCACAUCCAAGGAAGGCAGCAGGCGCGUAAAUUACCCAAUCCUGACAUAGGGAGGUAGUGACAAUAAAUCACAAUGCGGAACUAUUAGUUUUGCAAUUGGAUUGAGAACAAUGUACAAAUGUUAUCGAUAAACAAUUGGAGGGCAAGUCUGGUGCCAGCAGCCGCGGUA